rnacentral:lncRNA from 1 species
GAUGCUCCCAGAACCUGCGCAGCUAGCGGAUCCCGUCCGACAGCUGUGCUGGGCGCCCGAGAGAGCGCACGGCUCAGCCCACCCCGUCCCUUCCCCGGCCAGGAGCCACUCACAAACUCAAAGAUGAAGAGCAAGUCGGGCAAGGUGGUGAAGACCGAGAAGCCACUGGGCAGGGUGCUGCCCCCCGUCGCCGCUGCGGGGGCCAUGACGGCGUGCUGGCGUCGGCCUUGGGACGGGACGAGCGCCGCUCAGACUCCGCGCAGACCUCUCGCUGGCUCCGCGGAGCCCAGUGGCCUGGGCGCCCCCGCGCGCGGGUUAAGAGCAGGGGAGCCCGGGGCAGAAGAGGGAGGAGCCCCGGCCGCCGCCCAACCCCGCCCCCCGCCCCACGCCCCGGGAGACCCGGCCCGAGCGCCGCGGGCACCGCCCUGAACCUCUUCGAGGCCCCGCUGCGGGCGUCCAGAGCUGGGGACUGUGGGUCUGACUCCUGCGUUCCAGCCGUGGGUGCCACCUCUUGCGGGAAGCAGGGCAAAACCACUUUGGUCAGGCGCUCCUCGUGCCUUUCUCCCUUCGUAGGUGACCAGCAUCUCGUAAGAAUGAUAACCAUCAGUAACCGGGACCCCAAACCUUCUCAUCAAGGCACCUCUCGGGUCACCAUUACUUUAACUUUGAAUUUGGGUCUCCUUCAUUUUUCCGCUGGAUGCGUUAAUGUGCGCGACCCACAGCUCCAGGCGGCGGUUUCCUGGCGGAACUGGACCACCGCCACAGGCUGGGGGUCUGCAGUGGGGGAUGGGACCGGCCGCGGCCGCCGGCCCCUUCCGCGUCCACUGAGCCGGCGCUGGUUCGGCGCUGGGAUCCUGCACCGGGCCUCUCUGCUUGGUGCUGCGCGUCUGCCUGAGAGUAGGAGGUUGCUCCCAGCUGUGCCGGCCCCAGCAGAAGGCUGCUGGUGGUGGUGCUGGGGCAGGUCGGCCUUGAAUCCAUGCGACAGGAAGGGACGUUACCAGAAGAGAUUCAUCGCUUUCUCUUGGUCUGGGCAGCCCGGGCCUUUUGAGGGUGGGACCGCUGCUACCCCCACCCCCAGGUUCUUUGCCUGCCUGUUGACUGCCGGUGUUUCAUGUUUUGUUUCUCUGUUUCACUAUUUUUUAUUUUUUGCCUUAAAAAAAAAAGUAUUACCAUGCAGCAGUUGCCCAUUUAUUUUAAUUUACUAUUAAUAGUGUGAUUGCUGUGUUUCCUCCUACAAACACUGAAGCCUGAAAUCCGCCCGAGUCCGGAUUCUCGCCUGCCAAAAGGGAAUUGGCCCCGCAACCUCCAGCUUAGACUCCCAACUCUUCUUUCUUUCCAUUGGCAGCUGCUGCAGGCAGGACAAGGGGCUCCCCUUCUCUCCAGUGGGGCCUUCACCUCUCCCUGCUGCACAAUUCUUCCUCCUUCCCAGUCCCUAGGGAGAGAAGUAUAUUCGUGGACGCAUUUUCCAAAGCAAAAGUAGCACGCCCAUCAGCUGGCCAUUCUAAGUGCCUCUGGAAAGGGGCCAGGCAUUUGAAAUGAGAAAACCCCACUGUGCCUCUGUGAGCUGCCAGCCCGGACGGCUGCAACCAAGGUGCCAUUGUGUCGGGUCCCCAGGGCAGCAUCUCUCUGGACACAAUGGGCUGUGGGACUUUAGGAGCCCAGGUCCUCAUCCACCUUGGGCAUCUCAUAGCUCGUUAGUUGGACCUGCUGGCCUCUGAGAGGACAUCUUCUUCCUCCCCAGGAGACCGUCCUGGGAACAAGCCUUAAAGCAAGGUGGCCACAGGAAGCCGCAGCCUGAAGAGAGGUGAGAUGACCCUCAGGCAGUCCAGCGAAAGCUGCUUGGAGAUUUCCUAUCAGCACAUACUAAUUAAGAACAAGAAGAUCCUAUCAACUCCUAAUAAUGUCCUUACCUGGCCUGGAGGGCUUUUGUUUGUGGUUUGGUUUGGUGAUUUCCUACUUAUUUCAAGCCUUUGUUGCUAACUCAUUCCUACUUGGGCCUGAGCCUUUGGGGAAAGCUCGCUCCCAGGGGCAACUCAGUGGAGCUCAGCAGUCCCAGCCCUCCUUUGAUAAGGCAGAGGGGCAGCAAUCUCUGAAAGAGGCUUCAGAGGAUGAGGAAGGCAGCCCGGCCAGGGUCAAGGGGGUUUGUCCCUAUCUCUGUGACCCCCUCCUCCCACCUGGAGUUCUCCGCUCGACGUUCAUCUUCCUGACCAGACUCUACCCUCGGCAGGGCAUCCUCCAGCCACCCCCAUCUGCCCCUCUCCUUCCCCACCCUAGCAUAUGCUCAGCACCCAAGCAGAGCCCAGCCUCUGGUGAGUGCUCAUUAAACCUUAGCCAAUGGUGGAUGACUCCAGCUUUGUCUGUGCUUGACCACCAGAGGAGGACAUGGAAGUGCCCUGUUUGGAUGUAAGAAGCACUGGUGAGGAGUGAGGCACUGGUAAUAGAGAGACAUUGGUAAAUAGAGAGGCAUUGGUGAGAGAGAGGCGUUGGUGAGACAGAGAGAGGCACUGGUGAGAGAGAGGCACUGGUGUGUGAGAGAGAGAGAGAGAGGCGUUGGUGAGAGGAGGCAUUUGUAAAACAGAGGCAUUGGUGAGAGAGAGAGACAUUGGUAAGAGAGAGGCAUUGGUAAGUAAAGAUGGGCCUGUCUUCAUUCCCCAGCACAGCUUCUGCAGGUGCUCUGGGCCACCUGCUGGUGAAUGAGGUGGUUGAUACUUAUCAGAAGCCCAGGACCAUAUUUUGGUUUCCAGCAGGAUAUGAAAAAAUAAUUUCAGCCAAUAAUAACUCAGUGAGUAUCCUUGGUCUUCCCAGUGGGUGUGAAUAAGAGGGUGGGUCUGGGGCUUCUGUCAAAUAUUAAUAACGUGGCCUUGGGUGGGUUUCCACAAAGUAGGAAUUGGAAAGUUGCCAUUGCAGAGCCAGCCUGGGGAAGGAAGAGGUUACCACCUCCAGUUUGUGUGUGUUCAGGGGGAGGGAGGAGAUUGUGGGGAGAGGGACGUGUUCAGGGAAAGAUUAAUGGGCAGGAGUUGCCCAUCCGUAACAGUAGGUGCAUUGGUUUUUGAGGUAGGUAAGAUGACUCCCAUUUUACUGAUGAGCUAACAGAGGCUCAGAAGUGUUAAGUAGCUGCCCAAGGGCACAGAGUUGCUGAGCACCUUGAACCUGAGUGACGCUGCACCUCUAAAGCUCCGAGCCCUCGAUGAAAACCCUGCUCAAGAUGGGCAAUUGCCAGUCAAAUGCCAGCUCCAUGCAGACAUCGGCAGCCUCCCAAAUCCAGUCUUCAUGGUCAUCUCAGGUGUGGCCCCAGGCACCUGCCCUGGUGGACAGGGCUUGGGACCUUCACCUCUGGGAACACAAGGAAGUGGGGGUCAUCAUCCCCAUUUAUGGAUGGCGAGGCCGGGUGCCGACAUGAGUUCAGAGAGCUACCCUGAACGCGCACUUCCCCCUAGGGAUUUUAUUUUUCUCACAGACACAGUCACCCACAGCCCUGGGUUCCAUAGAAGGCAUGAAGCAGUGAGGGCACCUGCUGGCGGAUGGGGGAAUGGCAGCCACAGCUGCCAUGGCGUCAGCGCAGGAGGGGAACCUGUUACUGAGGGCUUGCUGAGUCCCAGCACUGCCACAGGCACUUUGCCUGCAUGGCUUCAUUUAAUCCCACAGAGGCUUGCUGGUGGGUGUCACCCAACAUACAGGCUAGGAAUGGGAGGUAAUGUGCGCAGGCCACAUGGCUGGUGACUAGGCCUCUUGAUUCCAGCAGGCAGGCUCUGUGUCUACUGCACAAAAUCCACAAACUGGAAAAUCUGAAGUGGUGGCUGCUCACCAGGGCACUGUCCUUUGAUGGGCCAUGGGCUCCGUGUGCCCACUGCCUCCAGGGACAAUGAUCCGCAUGUGCUCUUUUCCCCACCCUCUUGUAGGAUCAUGUUUUCUAGAACCAGGGAGAUGUGGCACUCUGCCACUGUCCGACAAAGUCCUCAUGAUAUUCUGAGCACAAAACAGGCUGGCAUUGUCUGGGUGACUUGUGGAUGGGGAUGGAGGGUAGAGGGUGUGUGAGUAGGAAAGACAGAGUCCCUGCUCCCUAGGAGAGCUCUUUCCAAGAGGGACAGCACGUGAGGCUGAGAGGCACCUGGUCAGGGCCUGUGCUGGGCAUGCUUUGUCCAUGACUGCAGGCAAAGUGCUCAGAGACGGUGUCUUAGUCUGUUCGGGCUGCUGUAAUAAACUACGGUAGACCAGGAGGCUUGUCAACAGCAGGAGCCUGUUUCUCACUGUUCUGGAGGCUGGAAAUCCUAGAUCAAGGUGUUGCAGAUUCCGUGUCUGUUGAGGGUCCACUUUCUGGUUCACAGACGGCACCUUCUUGCUGUGUCUUCACAGGGUGGAGGAGGUGAAGGGUCUCUCUGGGGCCACUUUUCUAAGGACACUGAUACCAUUCAUGAGGCCUCCAUCUUUAUGACCUAAUCAC